rnacentral:lncRNA from 1 species
UCGGGCCGCGGGCCUGGCCUCAAAGAUGGGCUACAUGUGGUGUCCCCCAAUCUCCGACGGAACUCCGGGCGGAUGAGAGACCACGACAAAGCCAGGCGACAGAACUCGGUUCUGUUGGCUCGGCUUCACUGAGCACCCGCGAAGUCCGGUUCUCUGGUGACCACCCAAGACCUCAAAUCCAACAUGCCGGGGAUCAGCAGACGUCCUGCCUCUGUGCGAUUGGGAGGUUGUGCUGUUGGCCGGCUGCAUGGAACUGGAUUCAGAGAGAGGAAGCGUCCAGGGACGGCGCGUCUGAAGGGUGGUGGGGAAACAGGAGGAUGGCUGGUCACCUCUAAGACUCAGACGGGAAUCAGAGAACCCUCAGAACCGCUCAGCUCGUCCGGCCUGAGUCUGUCCACACGAUGACGUGUCCCCUGCCCCUCCACUUUUCCCAGGAUCACUGAAGACAUUAAGCAACGUGGAUCAGAACACAGGCUUGGCAUCAGAGGUUCAGAACUUGCUGGCUGGAUACUUCUUGUACAGCUUGAGCAAAGGUUGUCCCCCUCUCUGCCUCAGUUUCCUCAUUUCUACAACGCGGAUGGCACGUGUAGAAAGGCACAGGCAGGUCUGCUGCAUUCACGCACUGUUGCUGGGCAGGGCUUGACAUGCAUUCAUUCUGCUUACUAAGGGCUCAAGGGGGUCUCUGGAUUUAAAAACGACUUGGGGGCUGGGAUGUAGCCCAGCAUUCAUGGGGCCCUGGGUUCUAUCUGAAGCACCGCUACCAAACCAGACAAAAAACCUGCUUAGGAUUUUAGGGGCCUUAGAAUAGGGGGCAGUUAUAUGAACAACUGAGGCUUCCAGCACUAAGCACAGUCUCCAAGAACACUUGUACACCUCUGUCCUCAGCAGGACUCUUCCCAAUAGCUAAAAGGUGGAAGCAACCCAAAUGUCCACUGACAGAUGAGUGGAUAAACACAAUGCCAUCUUCCCAGGACUUAGGUACAGCUCAGGGGCAGAGCACUUGCCUAGCAUGCAAGAAGCCUUGGGUUCUACCCCAGUACAGGGGGAAAAAGUGGUUAAUCCAUACAAUGGAAUAUUACUCAGCCUUAAAAAGGAAGAAUGGUGCCUGUGAUCCUAGUAACAUGGGAGGCUGAGGCAGGAAGAUAACAAGUUCAAGGCCAGCUGGGCAACUCAGCAAGACUGUCUCAAAAUAAAAUAAAAAAGGCUGGGGACAUAGCUUAGUAAUAGAGUGUGCCUGAGUUCAAUCCUCAGCUCCAAAAAUAAAAAUAAAUAAGCAAAGGGCUGGAGAUGUGGCUUGGUGGCAGAGCACCUGGAUUCAAUCCCCAGUCUCACAGAAGGAAAUAAAAAGAAAUGUUCUGUUGACUCCCUGCAGUGGCCGAUGAGGACUUUGCUCACUCAGUUUAUUACUCUGUUUUUAGUUCCUCCAUGGAUGACCUUCUAACUGGGACCUCUGUCCUGGGUCUGGCCUCCUGGGUCACCUUCUUGCUCAUACCCAGGCUUUUGUCCA